rnacentral:rRNA from 1 species
CCUACGGGAGGCAGCAGUGAGGAAUAUUGGUCAAUGGGAGAGAUCCUGAACCAGCCAAGCCGCGUGAGGGAAGACGGCCCUAUGGGUUGUAAACCUCUUUUGUCGGAGAAAAAAACCCGGGACGUGUCCCGGACUGCGUGUAUCCGAAGAAAAAGCAUCGGCUAACUCCGUGCCAGCAGCCGCGGUAAUACGGAGGAUGCGAGCGUUAUCCGGAUUUAUUGGGUUUAAAGGGUGCGUAGGCGGUCCGUUAAGUCAGCGGGAAAAUUGCGGGGCUCAACCCCGUCGAGCCGUUGAAACUGGCAGACUUGAGUUGGCGAGAAGUACGCGGAAUGCGCGGUGUAGCGGUGAAAUGCAUAGAUAUCGCGCAGAACUCCGAUUGCGAAGGCAGCGUACCGGCGCCAGACUGACGCUGAGGCACGAAAGCGUGGGGAUCGAACAGGAUUAGAUACCCCAGUAGUC